ACAACGCUCCUCAGAUAGGGCACUCCCCAAGCAGGGGUAUAGCUUGGCUCCGGGACCGUGGUCCCGCGGAGGCCGACUUCAGUUUCUGAAUUUGCCCACCAGUGGCUUCGAGGGCCAAGCCCCCAGGCCCUGCUGGUCCAGGAGAAGAGACAGCUGCCGGCGAGCCUCCUGCAGGGCCCUGCGGGCGAUGACCAGGCCAUGGCAGUCAUGGAGCUGCUGGCCCGAGAACUCCAGCCAGCCAGCACAGCAGCUGCUGCCAGUGCCCAGAGCCACCAGCUUGUAGAUCUCCUUCACGUGGCCCCUGGCACGCGGGAUCUCUGUGCAGGAAGGGGCAGAGACGGCCCAGCCUAAGGCCCAGUAUGGCGAGCGCUCAUCCAACAGGAGGUCAAAGCCAGCGCUCACCAACGCUGCGCAGCGCUGCUCAUGGGUCAGGAUGUUCUCUGCGCCAGGGCGAGAGAGUGCAGGUAGAAGGGGGCCCACGCCUCUCCCCUCAACACUACAGCCUGGGUCCGUGAAUGCUCACCUACCUAUGCUCAGGGGGGCCAGUGGAGGCUGGCUGGAGGUCUGGGGGGAC
rnacentral:antisense_RNA from 1 species